CACCCCUCAAACUUGACUGUUUGAUGUUGGGUACUGCCUGAAGGCAUACCUAAAAAUCAGCGACGGUUUCAACCAACCUCAGACGUACAAGUAUCGUUAUAGUGGGCGGUUGGGGCCUGUCUUGACUAAACUAUCUAAA
rnacentral:misc_RNA from 1 species